CAAACUAAAGCUUUAAGAAGUUUUUUAUUUACAUUAAAAAGGAUACUAUAUAAUAUUUAGUAUAGUUUGA
rnacentral:tRNA from 1 species